AUACCAGUCCCACAUAUAUAAUUGCUUUUCGGUCUACAAGAAAGCAUAAUCCACGAGGGACAUAAUUGCUAUAUACUCGUCCUAGUUUGAGGGUUGUCGAUGGGUUCUUACAUCGCCCUCCCAUAGAACGGACAGACAUACCAGCGCAAUCCCUCACUUUUCACUGUGACGGUUUACCAUCAAUCGAUCUGACGACGACAGCGACAUGAAGACCUAGCUAUCCUUUGUCUUAUGUAUCCAGCUUUUCACAACAACGUUCGACACAAUUUGAGAAGACAUGUCUAUUCUACAUUCGUUACUGCCUCAUUAUACGAGUGUCGUUGAUCAUUCUAUUGUUGCUUGUCAAAGAAGGAUGUAUAGAUGCAGCGUGUCUUAUGCAGCGGGUGUUA